AUGGAGCUGGUGGUGGGAGCUUCGGAGGCGACGAUGAAGUCCGUCAUGGGCAAGCUGGGCGUCCUCCUCGCCCAGGAGUACACCCUGAUCCGGGGCGUCAACGGCGACCUCCAGUACAUCAACGACGAGCUGGCCAGCAUGCAGUCCUUCCUCCGCGACCUCACCGCCGUCAGCGCCGGCCAAGUCCAGAGCCACGGCCACCGGAUGAAGGACUGGAUGAAGCAGAUCCGCGACAUCACCUACGACAUCGAGGAUUGCAUCGACGACUCCGCCCACCGCCUCCACGGCCUGCGCUCCGACAUGUGCUGCUACUACUUCGCCAACAGCGUCUACGAGGUCCUCACAUGGUGGCCUCGCCGCGACGUCGCCUCCAAGAUCUCCGUUCUCAAGAUGCGGGCGCAGCAGAUCGGGGAGCGGCGGGAGAGGUACGGCGUCAACAACCCGGAGGCUGCCGGCGGAUCUGAGGGUUCUCAUGCCGGAAACGGCACCGCUGCUGGAUUCGACGCCGCCGACAACCAGGAGGCGAGCCUUGAGCUCGUCGCCAUGAAGGAUCCGGUGGGGGUGGAGGACCACAUGAAAGAGCUGGAAGAGUGGCUGACUAACGACAAGAACACCUCCGGCGUGCUGUAUGUUGUUGGGUUCGGAGGGGUGGGGAAGACCACCAUUGCUACCGCCUUGUACCGGAAAUUUGGGGACCAAUUCGACCACCGCGCCAUGGUCAACGUGUCUCAGAGCUCCGACAUCAACGCUGUCCUGACCAACAUCAAGAAUCAAGUCAUGCCGCAGUCCAGCGGCCAAAGGCAGCAAGCCGGCGGAGGCGUACUCGGUCGGCUCAAGCGAGGCACCUCGGCAUUGGCGGCCAAGUGCUGCAGCGCCGGCGCGUCAGAGGAAACGCGUGGUGAGACGAAGCUGGAUAAGCUCAAGAAAGAUCUCGGGAAACACUUUGAUGACAGCAGUUACUUGGUCUUGGUUGAUGAUGUUUGGUCUGCAGCAACGUGGGACCAAAUCAGAAAGUCACUUCCUUCAAGCAAGCAGCGCACCAGAAUAAUAGUUACUACACGGUUUCAAGCUGUUGCCACAAGACGCAGAGGAGAAGAAGGUGAUCAUACUCGUAAAGUUUCCCCUCUUGGCAUUGGAGAAUCUGAGAAGCUAUUUAAGCAGGCCUUCUUUGAAUCCAAAGGAAGCAAGGUUGAUAAGGUUCCAAAGGAAGUCUGGAAAAUGUGCGGGGGGCUGCCACUGGCCAUAGUUAUCAUGGCUGGUCAUGUGGCUUGCAACCCGAACAAAUCAGAGGACGAAUGGUCGAAGGUUUGCAAUUCUCUAUUUCCAGAGUUAGGGAAAGAUCAUGGCAAAGAUGGUGGGAGAGAUCUUACCCAGGAGGAAGUUGGUAGGAUUGUGAGUCAUUGCUACAAUGACAUGCCUGCUGACAUCAAAACUUGUUCCCUGUAUUUGAGCAUAUUUCCAAAGGGCCAGAGAAUCAGCAGGAAGCGUUUAACAAGGCGAUGGAUAGCUGAAGCUUUCGUUGCUGAGAAGCAGGGCCUGAGUGUGGAGGACGUUGCAGAGACAUAUUUCAAUCAUCUCAUAAGGAGGAAGAUCAUCCGACCAGUGGAGCACAGCAGCAAUGGGAAGGUGAAGAAAUGCAUAGUCCACGACAUGGUCCUUGAACACAUUGUAGCGAAGGCAAGUGAAGAAAAUUUCAUCACUGUGAUUGGUGGUAACUGGCUUAUGCAGCUACCUAGCAGCAAGGUCCGCCGGCUGUCCCUCCAGGAAAGCGAUUCCAAACGUGCAAAUGAUACAGAGAAGAUGAACCUGUCUCAUGUCCGAUCACUGACCAUGUUUGGGAGCUUGAACCAACUGCCUUCCCAUUCAUUCAAGUUUGGAAUUGUACAAGUCCUGGAUCUUGAAGGCUGCAUAGGUUUCAAAGCGCAUCAUACAGAGGAGAUAUGCAAGAUGCUUCUUCUCAAGUAUCUCAGCCUCCGAAGAAGUGACACUAAACAGCUUCCAAAAGCGAUUGGAAAGCUUGAGAACCUCGAGACUCUGGACAUUAGAGAGACAAGUGUUGUUGAGUUGCCUAAAACCGUAUGCCAGCUUGAACGACUGGUAAACGUACUUGGUGGGGAUAAAAGAACAAGAAGGGCACUGAAGCUUCCUCAAGAGUUGAACAAGAAGAAGAAAAUGAAGGCCUUGCGCAUACUGUCAGGGAUUGAGAUUGUUGGGGGAUUGGCUGACUUGCAUCAUCUGACUGAGCUGAGGAAGCUUGCCAUCUACAAGCUCAGCACCAUGAGCGACGAUCCGAGUUUCAAAGAUUUAAGCUCCUCGAUCGAGUACCUUGGGGGCUACUCUCUGAACACCCUCAUAAUUGAUGACGAGUCAUCCAAGUUUAUCAAUUCACUGGAUGAUCUGUCAUCACCACCAAAAUUCCUUGUUGCCCUCGAGUUAUCUGGCAAGAUGGUUCAGCUCCCUGGCUGGAUCACACAACUCACUGCUCUCACCAAGUUAACCCUCUCAGUAACAGCUCUCCGGACAGAUAACUUGCUGCUCCUUAGCAAUCUAGAUGCACUGUUCUCCCUCACCUUCUCAUUCAGGGCAGAGAAGCAGGAUUCUGAAACACUGACUAUUCUAGCAGAAAACAAGCUGUCCUCUGGUGGGGAGAUCACAAUCCCAAAUGCUGGUUUUAAGAGCCUUAAGCUUCUUCGCUUCUUUGCUCCUCUCUUGCCAGUACUGAGCUUUUCGAAGAAUGCCAUGCCAGAGCUGGAGAGGCUUGAGCUACAGUUCAGCAUGCUGGAGGGGCUCUAUGGCGUGGAAAACCUUGCGGGAAUCAAGGUGGUGCAUCUGACGUUGAAGGACAAAGACGGUGAAUAUAUGACGAAAGAGGUGCAGCACGAGGUGGAGACAGCAGUGAAGAGGAGGACCGAUGGCAAGGCGCCCAAGAUAAUCCUCGAUCAGUGA
rnacentral:rRNA from 1 species